AAGCCCAUGGGAGGCCAGCAUGGCUAGGAAAAUUAGGCCCAGGAUUCCCAGCUGCAUACAGCGCUUGCCCACCAAGGCCUGCGUCUCCUCUCAUGUGCCCCAGCUGGCUUUGAGGCAGUUCGUUCUGAUUUACACCAGUGCUGGGACCAGCUAGCAGGCAAAGGGCCAGAGAGCAGAUGCUUUGGAAGCCACCUGGAGAGAAGGACAGGCCGGGGUGCACGGCCAGAGGACAGGGUCACGUCGGGCAGCACCAUGGGAGGCCUUCGUCCUGCAAGGGACAGAGCGAGGAUGAGGAUGGGGUGAAGACACUGACGUGCCAGGAUCCCUGCGAGCACAUGUGAUGAGGACUCGACGGGGGGGGGGGGGGGGGGGGAAUCUGUGGGGGCACAGGGCUCCCGAGGGGCAGUAGCUCUACCCUGGGCCCCCGCCCAGGGAGCCCCCCCUCCCCAGGGGCUGGUGCUGCUGGACCCGCGGCUGGGGGUGUCCAGGCACUUACGCUGGAUGUGCUCUUCUCCGCCCCGGCCGAAGAGACGCUCCACCGCUUCUCUCUCUGGGGGGAAGCACAGGAAAGGGCAGCUGGCGUCAGACACUAAGGCACAGGCCCCCCCUCACCGCGGCUGAGCCCUAUGGCACCGGCUACUGGACGUCACCCACCUCAGGUGCCUUAUGGGUGGUGUGGGCCCCCAGGCAGCCCCCCGGCUUGGGAGGAGGGGUGGGCUGUGACGCGCAACGAUAUCGAC